rnacentral:rRNA from 1 species
GACGAACGCUGGCGGCGUGCUUAACACAUGCAAGUCGAACGGAAAGACCCUGCUUUUGUGGGGUGCUCGAGUGGCGAACGGGUGAGUAACACGUGAGUAACCUGCCCUUGACUUUGGGAUAACUUCAGGAAACUGGGGCUAAUACCGGAUAGGAGCUCCUGCUGCAUGGUGGGGGUUGGAAAGUUUCGGCGGUUGGGGAUGGACUCGCGGCUUAUCAGCUUGUUGGUGGGGUAGUGGCUUACCAAGGCUUUGACGGGUAGCCGGCCUGAGAGGGUGACCGGCCACAUUGGGACUGAGAUACGGCCCAGACUCCUACGGGAGGCAGCGGUGGGGAAUAUUGCACAAUGGGCGGAAGCCUGAUGCAGCAACGCCGCGUGCGGGAUGACGGCCUUCGGGUUGUAAACCGCUUUCGCCUGUGACGAAGCGUGAGUGACGGUAAUGGGUAAAGAAGCACCGGCUAACUACGUG